rnacentral:rRNA from 1 species
UACGUAGGCAGCAAGCGUUGUUCGGAUUUACUGGGCGUAAAGAGUGCGUAGGUGGUGCCCUAAGUCUGUUGUGAAAUCUCCCGGCUUAACUGGGAGGGUGCGGUGGAAACUGGGGUGCUUGAGUGUGGGAGAGGUAAGCGGAAUUCCUGGUGUAGCGGUGAAAUGCGUAGAUAUCAGGAGGAACACCGGUGGUGUAAACGGCUUUCUGGACCAUAACUGACGCUGAGGCACGAAAGCGUGGGUAGCAAACAGG